rnacentral:sRNA from 1 species
AAUUCGUAAUUUUUCCACCAAAAAACAUAAACCCGUGAUUUUCUCGCCAAAAACGUAAACCCGUGAUUUUCCCGCCAAAAACGUAAACCCUUAAUUUUCCCGCCAAAAACGUAAACCCGUAAUUUUCCCACCAAAAACGUAAACCCGUGAUUUUCCCGCCAAAAAUGUAAACCCGUGAUUUUCCCGCCAAAAACGUAAACCCGUGAUUUUCCCGCCAAAAACGUAAACCCGAGAUUUUCCCGCCAAAAACGUAAAUCCGUUAUUUUUUCGCCCAAAACGUAAACCCAUGAUUUUUCCGUCAAAAACGUAAAUCCGUGAUUUUCCCGCCAAAAACGUAAAUCCGAGAUUUUUUCGCCGAAAAGCUUAAACCCGAAAUUUUCCAGCCAAAAACGUAAACCCAUCAUUUUCCGGCCAAAAACGUAAAAAACUAUAAUUUUCCUGUCAAAACGUAAAUCCGUGAUUUUCCGUACCUAAAACGUAAACCUGUAAAAA